AUUGAACGCUGGCGGCAGGCCUAACACAUGCAAGUCGAGCGGAUGAAGGGAGCUUGCUCCUGGAUUCAGCGGCGGACGGGUGAGUAAUGCCUAGGAAUCUGCCUGGUAGUGGGGGAUAACGUCCGGAAACGGGCGCUAAUACCGCAUACGUCCUGAGGGAGAAAGUGGGGGAUCUUCGGACCUCACGCUAUCAGAUGAGCCUAGGUCGGAUUAGCUAGUUGGUGGGGUAAAGGCCUACCAAGGCGACGAUCCGUAACUGGUCUGAGAGGAUGAUCAGUCACACUGGAACUGAGACACGGUCCAGACUCCUACGGGAGGCAGCAGUGGGGUAUAUUGGACAAUGGGCGAAAGCCUGAUCCAGCCAUGCCGCGUGUGUGAAGAAGGUCUUCGGAUUGUAAAGCACUUUUAGUUGGGAGGAAGGGCAGUAAGUUAAUACCUUGCUGUUUUGACGUUACCAACAGAAUAAGCACCGGCUAACUUCGUG
rnacentral:rRNA from 1 species